rnacentral:rRNA from 1 species
GACGAACGCUGGCGGCGUGCUUAACACAUGCAAGUCGAACGGAAAGGCCCUGCUUUUGUGGGGUGCUCGAGUGGCGGACGGGUGAGUAACACGUGAGUAACCUGCCCUUGACUUUGGGAUAACUUCAGGAAACUGGGGCUAAUACCGGAUAGGAGCUCCUGCUGCAUGGUGGGGGUUGGAAAGUUUCGGCGGUUGGGGAUGGACUCGCGGCUUAUCAGCUUGUUGGUGGGGUAGUGGCCUACCAAGGCUUUGACGGGUAGCCGGCCUGAGAGGGUGACCGGCCACAUUGGGACUGAGAUACGGCCCAGACUCCUACGGGAGGCAGCAGUGGGGAAUAUUGCACAAUGGGCGGAAGCCUGAUGCAGCAACGCCGCGUGCGGGAUGACGGCCUUCGGGUUGUAAACCGCUUUCGCCUGUGACGAAGCGUGAGUGACGGUAAUGGGUAAAGAAGCACCGGCUAACUACGUG